rnacentral:rRNA from 1 species
GAUAAACGCUGGCGGCGCACAUAAGACAUGCAAGUCGAACGGACAGAAACUCAUUCUUUUAGUUUGAGUGGAUGUUAGUGGCGGACUGGUGAGUAACACGUAAGCAACCUGCCUAUCAGAGGGGAAUAACAGUGAGAAAUCACUGCUAAUACCGCAUAUGCUAACAGUAUCGCAUGAUACAGUUAGGAAAGGAGCAAUCCGCUGAUAGAUGGGCUUGCGUCUGAUUAGCUAGUUGGUGGGGUAACGGCCUACCAAGGCGACGAUCAGUAGCCGGACUGAGAGGUUGAACGGCCACAUUGGGACUGAGAUACGGCCCAGACUCCUACGGGAGGCAGCAGUCGGGAAUAUUGCGCAAUGGAGGAAAACCUCUGAUGCAGCCAUGCCGCGUG